CUGGAGACCCUGUUCCUGAGUGCUCUGUGAUACAGACCCGAUCCCCACUCAAUCUGAAAACUUUUCUUGCAGAGUUGCAACCCACACGACUACUCCCCAGCCUACCACAACAGACUGAAAGACCCCCGAAGAGGUACUUUCGUAGAAGGAGACCCGCACCCAGGAAUCAGCGAGACCACGAACUUGGAUGCAAAAGCAAGAGGCUUUAUUAGAGACGCGGGUACCCGGGGCGACUUAGCUUCUGUGUGGCUAAGCGCACCGAGCCAAGGGAAAGGGGUCCUUAUAUAGGGAAAAAGGCGCAAGCUAGGAGCAGGGAUUCUAUUGGAUAAUUCUAAUGAGGCAUUGUACAGAGCUAUUCCCAUUGGUCAAUGUA
rnacentral:lncRNA from 1 species